AGGGGACAGCACGGAGGAGCGGGAGGAGCGGAAACAGCAUUCCUGGAAGCUGGAAGGAAACCCUGCCCAACAGAAGAGCGGACACUGGAAUAAAGAUCCUCAGGAUGGCCCCAAAGAGGAACGGGCUGUCUGUGACGAGGAAGCCUGCUCGGCCCGUGGAAGUCAGCCAGCUACACAGGGGGUGCCCCGGGCGCUGAGUGCAUAUCUGUGGAACGUCACAUUCAUCCCGGUGAGU